UUUAAAGGUACAAUAUUUUAUUGUUUUACAAGUAAUGCAGGGUAGCAUGAGCAGCAGCAACUCCCUGGCCGUCGCAAAAGCAUACAGUGGAAGCUUAAAGAAAGUGUCAGCAAUAACUCAAAUGUCAUCCAAAGGAUGAAUCUACAUUUACAAUUCUGUUGAUAGCUGAUUAGUACAAAGGAUUUCAAAAUCAGAACGCAAAGUUCAGAUGUGUAAAAGUUAUACAUUACAUUGCAUCCCAGUAGCCGUAGCCUUGUGGUGGGGUUCCUUUAGCAGGUUGAGAGUUUUUAGCAGGUGGGGAUAUGCUUCUCCGCUAUCAAAAAGGUAUAACCUCCCCAGGGGUGUGGCAGGAUUGGGAGUAGACAGUUCUGCCAUUCUCAUAAACCGAUUUGUAACUAUAUUGGGAUGAGAACUGACUGUUCAACGAUGCUGCCUUGAACGCUGCUGGAGCUGACACAUUAGGUGCUUUCAUUGUCACCAUCAGACACAAAAUCCUGAGAAACAUCACUGCUGCUAAAAUCCAUGUUGCUUGAGGAGUUGGCCCUCCUGUUCAAGGCUGUGCUCCUGCCGAGGCAAGGGCGCCUGUCGCUCCUGCCGAGGCAAGGGCGCCUGUCGCUCCUGCCGAGGCAAGGGCGCCUGUCGCUCCUGCCGAGGCAAGGGCGCCUGUCGCUCCUGCCGAGGCAAGGGCGCCUGUCGCUCCUGCCGAGGCAAGGGCGCCUGUCGCUCCUGCCGAGGCAAGGGCGCCUGUCGCUCCUGCCGAGGCAAGGGCGCCUGUCGCUCCUGCCGAGGCAAGGGCGCCUGUCGCUCCUGCCGAGGCAAGGGCGCCUGUCGCUCCUGCCGAGGCAAGGGCGCCUGUCGCUCCUGCCGAGGCAAGGGCGCCUGUCGCUCCUGCCGAGGCAAGGGCGCCUGUCGCUUCUGCCGAGGCAAGGGCGCCUGUCGCUUCUGCCGAAGCAUUUGAACCAGAUUCCGCACUUGAUGAGGCAAAGUGGCCGGUUGCUUCACAUAAGGUAUUUGGGCCAGCCGUGACGCUUGCUGAGGCAUUUCGGGUUGCUGCUGCUGCUUCACCCAAGGUAUUUGGGCCUGCCGUGACACCUGAUGAAACAUUGUGGCCAGGUGCUUCACCUAAGGUAUUUGGGCCAGUUGACACACUUGCCGAGGCAUUGUGGGUGGCACUGUGGCCAGUUGCUUCUGCUGCCGAGGCUCCGUGGCCAGUUGCUUCCGAGGAACCGUGGCCAGUUGCUUCACCUAAGGUAUUUGGCCCAGCCGUAACGCUUGCUGAGGCAUUUCGGGUUGCUGCUGCUGCUGCUUCACCCAAGGCAUUUGGGCCCGCCCUGACACCUGAUGAAGCAUUGUGGCCAGAUGAUUCACCUAAGGUAUUUGGGCCAGUUACCACACUUGCCGUGGCAUUAUGUGUGGCCGCUUGCGCUGCCGAGGCAUUACGGGGGGCCGCUUGCGAGGCACUGUGGCCAGUUGCUUCACCUAAAGUAUUUGGGCCAGUCGUGGCACUUGCUGAGGCAUUGUGGGUGGCUGCUUCGGUACGGGAUCCAGUUGCUCCACCUAAAGUAUUUGGGCCAGUCGUGGUUCCUUUUAAUUUAUUUUGGGGAAUAUAUCUAUAGUUACCUGCGAAAUAAAAGAAAGUUACAAAUCGUAAAAUGCCAGCAUUUGAAGUUCUGGGAUUUAUACAGUGUUACUUUUACUGAAUUAAAAUGUGUAGAACAAAACACACCUUUAGGUGGAGGAUAACAGGUUAUCCCUCCAAUUAGCAGGCAACAAAUCCAAGAAAGUCUAAAGAAAAAGAAAAACAUCCUAGUCAGUUAAAUACAGCUACCUGUAAAACAUGGAAGACAAGGGAAACAAACUAGAGCCAUACAACUUACCUCAAAGACAUUUCAAAACUCACAGCCAUUUUUCUCAUCAAAACCUCAGUAUUCAGAACUAAUGGUAGCCAGAAGCCUUACCAGGAGAUCCCUGAUAUUGUAUCUGAUUGUCUUUCUUGCUGCGCCUUACAAAGGAAUCCUAGACCCUUCUAAUCUGGCUGGUUAAUUAGGUACAUCUGCAAGCCACUGAACAUCAUUUCCAUUGGUCCAAUUUCCCAAUUGAGAUUAGGGGAGCUUGAUUUCAUUCAGC
ensembl:lncRNA